rnacentral:rRNA from 1 species
UACAGAGGGUGCAAGCGUUAAUCGGAGUUAUUGGGCGUAAAGGGUGCGUAGGCGGCGGAGUAAGUUGGGUGUGAAAUCCCGGGGCUCAACCUCGGAAUUGCAUUCAAUACUGCUUCGCUAGAGUACUGGAGAGGAGGCUGGAAUUUACGGUGUAGCAGUGAAAUGCGUAGAUAUCGUAAGGAAGGCCGGUGGCGAAAGCGAGCCUCUGGACAGUUACUGACGCUGAUGCACGAAGGCCAGGGGAGCAAACGGG